AAUAUUCAUUUCUUGAAGAAAAUAUUUAAUGAGAUAUCAAAACAGACAUUGUUGCACUGUUCCAAAACUAAAACUGCUGACGUAGAACAAGUAAUGUGCUUGCCAUGGCUUAUUAAAACAAAACAAUAAGUAUACUGGGUCAGACAGGGCAUAAUCAAGAAAAGGCAAUAUCUUUCUGGCUUUAGAAUCAAAUCAUAAAAGUAAUGGAUAACUCAUGGUUAGAAAUGAUCAGGGGUGAUAGUUCACACAGAUUAUAAAAUAAUUGGCAUUCUCUCAAGGAACUGUAAGAUCCGUUCAUUCCAAAAAAAAAAAAAAAAAAGAUUUUAUUUAAACAUCCAGAAAUAAAGCAAUACUAUGUUGGUCUUGAAAUAGCCCCGAUCAAGAUCUAGUUUUUUCCCAUUUGUAUUAAAAAAUAUUAACGGAACAUUCCAAUACCUUUACUUAUAAUACUCGACUGUUUAGAAUUUGUGCUCCACUCCCCGAAGCACUAAGAAAGCUGUUACGUAUCUGUAAUUAAAGAGGGUGUGAAGAGGGUCCCUCGCCUUGACUCUUUUCCAUCCAAUGAAGAUCUUCACUAGUGAUGAUCUUCUGGUCAAUCCAGUGCUUCCUACAGAGAAACAUAAGGAGGCAGGGUGCAUGCACGUCAUUUGCCAAACUGGACUGACAGUGCUUUUCGUAUAGAAGCCUUGAAACCAAUGUAUCUUUAUGAGAAACCAUCAAUUCUGUCUUGAGAAUGUGCUAAAGGGGACUGAGACAGGGAACCCUCCAGGCUGGUUGGUUAACAGUUGGGAGGUUUUAUACCAACAAGGAUGAGAAAAGUGAUGAUUGCUCUUGUAAUUUACACUUUUAUAAACCUGCAGGAACACUCUACCAUCCUGUAAACCAUAUACACAAGUUGAUGUGCUUAAGGUAUUUGUCUGUAGGUGCACAGGGGCAUCAUAUUCCGGCUAUCGGCAUCAGCAAACGGCGUGUGGCGAGAGAGAGACAGACGCCGUUCCCACAUGUUCCUGCAGGACUCGAGCCCUGGGAGGGCAAAUUGGUACUGGAAACCAGGAGGUAGACUGGUCCUGAUUGUCAAAUCCAAUACAGGCAGAAGUGAAGGCGAAGUUAAGUCAACAAUGAAGAAUGAGGCAGGUAGACUUGGUUUAUACUUUGUAAGAUCGUCCUGCGAUCAGAUGUCUGGAGAUCCAGACAGCGGAAUGUCAGCAAGAGGGAGGGCUCAGAAAUGAAGGAAAGGUUUAAGAGAAGCAGGAAAAGGAACAGUACUUUGGGAUACAGGCACAGACACUAAAGAAUAAUAAAGCAAUAGAUGGAGUGUAAUCAGGGGUUUUAUAGGCUGGGCCAGGUCAAUGGCACAAUGGACAGACUGGAUGCUCGGGUAAAACUUUGUUGCUUGCAUGCAGUUCCUGAAACUGGAUUGGUGCUGGUGUCUCUAUGCAGUUGCUCAGCUCCAUUCAGUGUGACUAGUGUCUGCAUGACCUAAUACCACAGGGGAACUGGAGAACAGGUAAAGGGGAUGACAGGCAGCCAUGACAAAUAUGAUUACACAGAUAGACUUUUCAGGGCAGUCAGUACAGAAUGUUUCUACCCUACAGGCAUGCUAUCAAAAAUAGGGUACCUUGAAUAAGCCAGGUACUCGGUUAACCACUUUGUGCACUGUGCCAUGAUAUAUUAAAUAAAACUUUGAAAUGACUGAAAAUCAUAUAUACAAACUGCAAUAAAUAGUUACAACUAAAUGUCACAGGUAAAUGUUGCCGGCAUAUCCCAUUAUGGUUAUAACCAAACAAUUUAAGCAUAUCUCAUUUUAAAACUGACCAACAUUGCGGAUUAAAGAUAACGGAAGCCACAAAUUCUAAAACUGACAAACUGCAAAAAUGAACAUACAGACACCAUGCAAGGUUCAGAGAGGUCAAUGUGCAAUUUAAAAUGUAAAUAAACAUACCUAUAACAGAAAUUCCAGAACAGUAUAGAGCAUCCUUCUAUAGGCUAGAUGACAAAACAAACAAGAAAACAAAACAAAAUAAAACUUGCACUAAAAAUCAUAAAACAGAAACAACCAGUGGUUUUCUGGUAGAGACAGUGAAGGUAUGGUGCAAAGACCUGUAAAUCUAUACCCUCUAACAGGAAAUAACAUAAUAAAUGUAAGCCAAUAAACAAUAUAAAUUUCACAAAAACUGUCGUUCCCCCACUGCUGACACCCAAAUGGAAACAAACAUUGUAUAAAUGAACCGAAAACUAUUAACCGUAGUAGCAGAGGCUAUUUGACUAUUUAUAGCUAUUAUUGCUACACACUAUUAAUGAAUUUCCCAAUGCUUAAGAAUGUUUAUUUUGGCACACAGUGGUGUAGACUGAAUCAGACCAUUUGUCCUAACACUUGGUAGAUGGUAGGACAUUGAACCUAGAAAGUAUAACGUGAAAAAUGUGAACCCAUUUUAUUUUUUGGUGUUUAGUAAAUGAAAUACUAAUCUGUUAGAUGAUGUUGAUUUGAGAAUAACAUUAAGCAUUUUGUAUCUCACAUAUCUGAGUUAAUGGUCUUUUAAUGCAUGUACAUAGCCCUAUGCUUUUCUAUUUCCAAAUAAUGUAUGUUUAUACAUUCAAAGAUUUAGCCAGGAUUUAAACCUGCCUUAACGGUUUUAACCCAUGUAUUCUUUACAACAUAUUUGCUGUGUGAUAGUGGAAAUGUCUCGUUUUGCUGAGAUUCUAGAUAUAACACGAGACCUUGUUAGCUCUGGACUUUCUCAGCUAUAGAAGUCUGCACUUUAUCACAUUGGUUUUGCAAUGUAUUUUUGUGUCUUUAUUGACUAACUUUGUGUAAAACCCAGCCAAGUAUGUGGAAUAAAAGAGUUACACGUAUUGAAUAA